ACUCACUUAGUGGCUGUUAGAAUUAUAUCCGCACACAACAAUGCCCCGCCAAGGAUGGCGGGGCAAGGCGUUAUGUGCCAUGGACGGCAUGUAAAAGCCGGUUGUGUCAUGGUCUAUAACAAACUGAAUUAUAAUUCUUACAGCCUCUUAGUGACGCAGU
rnacentral:ncRNA from 1 species